AGUGAACGCUGGCGGUAGGCCUAACACAUGCCAGUCGAACGGCAGCACAGUAAGAGCUUGCUCUUACGGGUGGCGAGUGGCGGACGGGUGAGGAAUACAUCGGAAUCUACUUUUUCGUGGGGGAUAACGUAGGGAAACUUACGCUAAUACCGCAUACGACCUACGGGUGAAAGCAGGGGAUCUUCGGACCUUGCGCGAUUGAAUGAGCCGAUGUCGGAUUAGCUAGUUGGCGGGGUAAAGGCCCACCAAGGCGACGAUCCGUAGCUGGUCUGAGAGGAUGAUCAGCCACACUGGAACUGAGACACGGUCCAGACUCCUACGGGAGGCAGCAGUGGGGAAUAUUGGACAAUGGGCGCAAGCCUGAUCCAGCCAUACCGCGUGGGUGAAGAAGGCCUUCGGGUUGUAAAGCCCUUUUGUUGGGAAAGAAAAGCAGCAGGUUAAUACCCCGCUGUUCUGACGGUACCCAAAGAAUAAGCACCGGCGAAAUUCGU
rnacentral:rRNA from 1 species